AUUUUGGGCUUGGUCUCCACUUCCCAGUCCUUGAACGAGUUCUCCAGGUCUGCCCCAUUAGCACUGCAUCUCGGAAGGAAGCUGCAGCUGCGCCGCCAGUCUCCCGGUGGCAAAUGAAUAGCUCCUGAUGGACAGACAUGCUUGAGAAACACUAUUUUUCACAUUCCUAUCUACACUCAAGAUUUUACCUAUGAUAGCAGGCUGAAGAUUCCCAGGAUCUUACAUCCUAGCCCUAACAGUUCAGCUGAGCUGAGAGGAUGAGGAGGAAGCCCUUGGUGAUGGAACUUCUAGACAAGCCAAGGCCUGCCUGGCAGAGCU
rnacentral:lncRNA from 1 species